UCCUCGGUAGCUCAGCGGUAGAGCAGUCGGCUGUUAACCGAUUGGUCAUAGGUUCGAAUCCUACCCGGGGAG
rnacentral:tRNA from 6 species